UACGUAGGGUGCAAGCGUUGUCCGGAAUUAUUGGGCGUAAAGAGCUCGUAGGCGGUUUGUCGCGUCUGCUGUGAAAACCCGCGGCUCAACCGCGGGCCUGCAGUCGAUACGGGCAGGCUAGAGUUCGGUAGGGGAGACUGGAAUUCCUGGUGUAGCGGUGAAAUGCGCAGAUAUCAGGAGGAACACCGAUGGCGAAGGCAGGUCUCUGGGCCGAUACUGACGCUGAGGAGCGAAAGCGUGGGGAGCGAACAGG
rnacentral:rRNA from 1 species